rnacentral:rRNA from 1 species
AUUGAACGCUGGCGGCAUGCCUUACACAUGCAAGUCGAACGGUAGAGUAGCAAUACCCGAGAGUGGCGAACGGGUGAGUAAUAUAUCGGAACGUGCCCAGUCGUGGGGGAUAACGUAGAGAAAUUUACGCUAAUACCGCAUACGAUCUACGGAUGAAAGCGGGGGACUCGCAAGAGCCUCGCGCGAUUGGAGCGGCUGAUAUCAGAUUAGGUUGUUGGUGAGGUAAAAGCUCACCAAGCCGACGAUCUGUAGCUGGUUUGAGAGAACGACCAGCCACACUGGGACUGAGACACGGCCCAGACUCCUACGGGAGGCAGCAGUGGGGAAUUUUGGACAAUGGGCGAAAGCCUGAUCCAGCAAUGCUGCGUGUGGGAAGAAGGCCUUCGGGUUGUAAACCACUUUUGUACGGAACGAAACGCCUCGCUUUAAUACAGUGGGGUAAUGACGGUACCGUAAGAAUAAGCACCGGCUAACUACGUGCCAGCAGCCGCGGUAAUACGUAGGGUGCGAGCGUUAAUCGGAAUUACUGGGCGUAAAGCGUGCGCAGGCGGUUAUAUAAGACAGUUGUGAAAUCCCCGGGCUCAACCUGGGAAUUGCAUCUGUGACUGUAUAGCUAGAGUACGGUAGAAGGGGAUGGAAUUCCCGCGUGUACCAGUGAAAUGCGUAGAUUUGCGGAGGAAC